UUACAUGAACACAUUUUUAUUGCAAUAGCUCUAUCGAAAGCAAAAAAGUUUUGAUAAAUAUAAACACUAUGCAGAUGCUCAAAUUGCCUCUGAGUACCCCUCCUACCCCUCUUCCCCUCCACGAGGAAAAAAGAGAGAAAGAAAGAGAAGGAAAUGAAACAAAAAAAGAGGGGGGGCACCUGCCGAGGCGCGAUCAUAACAUGAAAAAAAGCGACAACUUGAGUUUUCCUUAUUUACAGAAGGAAGAUUUCCAUUCCCACCACAGUUUUCUCUUUUUUUACACUCUUUUUUUGUCUUUUUCGUACAUAGGACGUAGGUUGCUGAAAAAUAAUGCACAUACGAAGGAUACACACCUCCACAGUAUUUUUUUUUUUAACUCUUUCCUGUAAAGCUAAUAAACAACAGCAUUCAACUCGGAAACUAAGAACACAGGUAGCAGGGAAGAGUGGGAUUCGCUGUUUCCCGCUGAGAUCAUCCGAACUUUUGGAAAAAUUAAGCAAAACAAAACAAAAAAAAAAAGACCCGCGUGUGAUCGCAGGGCACCGAAUAUCGUCUUCACCGCCGACGCCGCGUUUGCCGCCGACGGGAUUUCCAACUGUUACUACACAGCAGCAAAUAAACUGUAAUAUAGUUACAAAAAAUAAACAUUAGGCAGAGGUUGUAACUCAUUUCUUUAUGCAAAUAACUGCAAAAUGAAUAUGUACUCUUUAAAAAAAAAAAAAUACUAGCCUCGUGUCGCUUCGUUUUUCGGACACACAAGGUCGCCCCGAUACGACAAAACAACCGAAAAUAAGAUGAUUCUUUUCCCUCCGUAAACUAGAAUACAAAAGAAACCAAAAGAUUCGAGGAAAAAGGAACAAAAGUUUGCAUAAUGAUGCAGUACCCUAAGUCUUCUCUGCAAGGAUUAUAUAUUUAUAUUUAUAGAUAUAUAUAUUACGUAGGUCUCAUUUCUUUCUCAUCUCUCCACCCCCAACAAGAAAAAUUCGUAAGAGCCGAUUCUCAGCAGAAGGAGGAGGAGGAACAUCGAGGACAGUUUUGAGGUUGAAUUGUUGCCAAAAUAAACACAGAUUCUGUGUAAAUUAAUUCAGUCAUGACGAAGGAUUAUACAGGAGGGGGUAAAACUCCAGGUGAACGACAUUUACCCACGUUUGAAUAAUGCUUCAAAUAAAUUAAGGGACCUUCUUCCCCCAGAAAUCUAGCUCUAACAAUUCUCGCCGUAGCGUUUAAAAAACUCAAAAGCAACACGUCGCCGCCGCCGCAGCAAAGUAAGUACAGAAAAGAAAAAAAACAGUUUCCAAAAAUAAACUCAAAUUUCUUCUUUGUCCCAGGCAGCCGCAGCCAAAAUACUCGUAUAUAUUUAAUUCUUACGUCAUCAUUCGAUUUGGGCAAAAUAAAGAUUUCUCAAAUUGAUCGUAAUGUACAUUUAAGACAAAUCACAGGCUUAAAAUUUCUAAACAGCAUUUUUGAAGAUUUAAGCUUUUCCAUCGGACUGUUAGGAACGUCGGAUAAAUACUCUCAAACCCUCCAGAGGGCGAUAAUGGGGUAAAAAAAUGGGGGGCUUCACCUUCUUUACGCUUACAUUCUGAACCGUAGCUGUUAGCAUGAACCUCCGGACUCGGAAAAAAACAUAAACACGACAAAAUGAAACACGUUGAACUUUGUUUUCUGUGGCUCUGUAGUGACUGGAGUUCAGAAAAGAAGAGAAGGAAGGAGGGAAAGUGAGAUUUUGAUUUUUGCAGCAUCUUUGAUUGGGGUUUGGAAAGUUUUGGAAAAUAAAGGAAAUGGUCUGAAGCGUCUGUAUUCAGUCGACUCUGCCCACCUGGUCACUCGGAGUUUGUUUGGAGAAGUUCAUGUUACGGCAACUCCGUAAUGCAAUGCAGUUCAUGCUAGCUUAAAAGCGAACUUAAGGCCAAAGUUUGUUUUGCGCUGCGGCCGACUUUGUCAAGAAAUAUUUGCAGGGCGUUAAGUUUCUCUCAAGGAUCACUUGAGCCGAUUUAGCGUGUUACGGCAACAUCAUAACGCAAUGCAAAAGUCGUAACUGGGGUGCUAAUAUAACAUUGUUUACGCUAGCUUAUAGGCGAAUUGACGGAUAAAAAUAGUUUUAGCACACAGUGGCGGACUUUGCACUGACGUAUCAAGAUAUUUUUGCAGGGUGUUGGUGUCUCUCGAGGAUCACUUGAGCCAAUCUGGCGUGUUAGAGCAACUCCGUAAUGCAAAGCAAACGUCGCACACUGGGAAGCAUAUAUUACGCUGUUUAUGCUAGCUUAAAGGCGAUAAAGUUUGUUUUAGCACUGAGGAUAACCAAUUUGGCGUGUUAUGGUAAAUCCGGAAUGCAAAGCAAAAGUCGUACACUGGGACGCUAAUAUUAUGUAGUUUAUGCUAGCUUAAAGCCGAACUGACAGCUAAAGCUCGUUUCAGCACUGCGGCGGACUUUGCACAGAUAUAUCGAGAAAUAUUUGCAGGACAUUAGUGUCUCUCAAGGAUCACGAGUAAAUUUGGCGAGUUACGGCAACUCCAUAACGCAAAAAGUCGCACACUGAGACACAAAAAUUACGCUGUCGAUGCUAGCGUAAAGGCGAACUGAGGGCUAAAGUUUGUUUCAGCACUGUCCCCGACUUUGCAUGGACAUUUCGAGAUAUAUUUGCAGGGCGUCAGUGUCUCUCGAGGAUUACUUGACCCAAUUUGGCGUCAUUGAUCGAAACUCUUUAAAAUGAAUUUUUUUUCUUGAUCUUGCAGGAUAACUAUUGCGCUUGUUUUAGCACUGUGGCGGACUUUACACAGACAUAUCGGCGUUAGUGUCUCUCGAGGAUCACUUGACCAAAUUUGGUGUCAUUGGUCAUUGACUAUUCUGCAAUAUCAAGAAACUCUUUAAAAUGAAAUCGUUAACUUGAUAUCGCAGAAUAGUUAUCGCACCAAUCAAGAACAACACAACUUCUUUUUUUCUCAAGUGAAUUUUGCGAAAUUGUGCAAAGACGACCAGGAUCUUGCGGUAUCUCGGAGCAUCAGUGUUGACCUUAGCAUGUGCAUCAAACCACCAGGGUCACCGACAGCGACCGUGUGCGUGUUUCAUCGAAUAUCAAGUACCAGGUGUGCAGAGUUCACAGCAACAGCGCGGAUCAGAGCAUGAAGUGAGCCGUCAAUCACCUCCGCCACUUCCGACGGCGCUGCAGAAACCCACGGUUAUUUAAAGACACCUCAGCCCCGUCCCCUCCCUUCCCAGAUUAGCGUCCCUGCUGUGCGAGGUGGGGGCUGACAAUGACGAGUCCCGCACAAAAGAAGAGCGAGAGUGACAAGCUUUCAACCGUCCCAAAAAAUUAAGAAGCGGGUUGAUUUGAAAAAAGGGGGAAAAGAAAUCAGGAGCAAAGAUGGCGUUAGAAGAGUGAACAAAGAGUUAGUGAUCCUGUGGGCUACGUUUGCUGUCAGUCUUUGUGUUUCUAUGAGAACACGUGUGGGUUAUAGUCAAGGGAGAGUAGCGCGAGUAGAAAAGCUAAAUAUGGGCGUAUCAGUCUGUAGGAGAGCUCUGAAUGAGGCUGGGAUGAACGUGCAUGCUGUAACGUGUGCGCGCGGCUCUGACAGGGCAAGCAUGACCGGCGCCGUGCACCUGGGACCGGAGCUCCGGUUACUGGAAACCUCUUUACGUCACCCCGAGCCAAUGACGACCGCAGCAGCAUGCAUGUAUGUGUGUCUGAGUGCAUGAGAAAUAUCACGGACGUCACCGAGCGCCGCUGACAGAGAGCCCAGAUCGAGGGCACGCCGGAGUUACCCUGAUCUAAAACGGGCCGUGUGACUACCGAGAGUGUUUGCGCAUGCAGAGAUUUCAUCAGUCCUGUGUUUGCCUCUGUGCGUCAACGUCUGUACUUUGUGCCUCAGCGGCGUCGUGGAUGUGUGUUUGGUGUGUGUGUGUGUGUGUGUGUGGCGCAGCUCUCCUUCGCUAACCUGAACCGUAUGAGGUAAAAAAAAAAAAGAAAUGUCCAGAAACUAAAAAUACCCUUAAACCGCAGCUUUGGUUGAUUAACCGACCCUUAGAGCAGAGAGAAGCAGCAGGGCGGGAAAACAACUUUCUCGUACACUGGCUUUAGCAGCUACAUUUUUAAAAAACCUCUUCAAGCCGCCGCGUUUGUUCAGAAAUAGUUCGACAUUUCCAGGAAAGAUUAAAAAGACCCCGCCCACUCUGAUUAAACACCACUUUGUUAGCACCCGUUUUGCUCGGCCUAGAUUAGCAAAAAGAUUCAAAGCGGCAGGAUGUAACGUCUUAAUUUGGAUUAUAGCGCACUGAGCUAUGCAGCUGGUAGCUACAGCGUCAAAUCGUCACUUCCGAAAAAUCUCAAACUAUUCCUUCAAACUUAAAAAUCUCAAAACGCCGCUUGAAGAGGAGGCGAACUUAUGACGGGAGAAGCUUUCCAGCAUUUGAUUAGCUUUUCGCGUUUCUCGUAAAUUGGCUUUAGCAGCUAAAUUUUUAAAAAACCUCUUCAAGCUGAUGCGUUUGUAAAGAAAUAGUUUGACAUUUCCAAGAAAGAUGAGUUUUCGGAAGUGCCUUUCUUUGAGUUAAAAAAAGACCCCGCCCACUCUGAUUUAACACCACUUUGAUAUUAGCGAUGUUCGCUCGGCUUAGAUUAGCAAAAAUACAUAAAGCGGCAGGAAGGGAAAUUACUUAACCUCUUUAUUUAGGUUAUAGCGCGCUAAGCUAAGCAGCCGGUAGCUACAGCGUCAAAUUCUCACUUUCGAAAAAUCUUAAACUAUUCCUUCAAAUGUCGAAAUCUUAAGACGCCGCUUGAAGAGGAGGCGAACUUAACACGGGUGAAGCUUUCCAGCAUUUGAUUUAAUUAGCGUUUCGCGUUUUUCGUACACUGGCUUUAGCAGCGGAAUUUAUUUAGAAACCUCUUCAAGCCGCUGCUUUUGUUAAGAAAUAGUUCGACAUUUCCAAGAAAGACGAGUUUUCGUAAGUGCCUUUCUUUGAGUUAAAAAAAGACCACUUUGAUAUUAGCGGUGUUCGCUCGGCUUCGAUUAGCAAAAAUACUCAAAACGUCUUAAUUUGGAUUAUAGCGCGCUAAGCUAAGCAGCUGGUAGCUACAGUGUCAAAUCGUCACUUCCAAAAACAUCUCAAACUAUUCCUUCAAACGCUGAAAUCUAAAAAAACGCCGCUUGAAGAGGAGGCGAACUUAAGAAGGGUGAAGCUUUCCAGCAUUUGAUUAGCGGCCGGCGUUUCGCCCUCGCCCCGCUGAGUACCAUCGAACAAAGAAAUGUACCGGAAAAAGAAAAAUCGUACCUAUUGCAACGAAUAAAUAAAAUGUGCUACAAUGUGAGUAUGUGGAGGAACGCUUGAGCUGUUUUGAAUUUCACAACGGGUGCCAAGCGAAGCUGUAACCCAGAGCCGGGCGCUUGUGUGAUGCCACUCUUGUCGGGUUUUGGGUGAAACUGGAUCCAGCCGCGAGCUUGUACCGUUUUAAGGAUUUAAUCCAGUCAGGGAAAUUAAUCUAAUCCAACUUUGUCAACAAUGUCAGAGCUGAAAGGUACCGUGUCGAGGAUGAUGGGGGGGUAAAAAAAAACAAAAAAAAAACAAUUAAAUUUUAUAGAAAAGUU